UGCCCCAGGGCCGAUCCUAGCGGGGGGCAUGGUGGUGGGCGGCCAAAUUUAAGGGCGGCGAAAUUAUUACGAACCAACGUAGGAAGGUUUAUAAAAAGGGCGGUCAAUUUUAAUUUGCACGUGGGCGGCCGAUUAUCUAGGAUCGGCACUGGGCUGUCCACCCCUGUAAAAGGGUCAGCCGGAUGAUGGAAGACGGGGAUGGACAGGCCGAGCCUGGAUCCCAUGAUAAAUAUUUUCAAAGGGUGGGAUCCGAGAUUCGAACCGGGUCCUCCAGAGCGUUUCCACGCGGCCAAUCCGGCCGACUUACCGGACCUUCUGGCCACUCCAGCCGAUGUCUAUCCAGACCUCGGGUUGGUUACAGCUGGACACCCAGCCAAUUUUACCACCAAACAAAUUCCAC
rnacentral:lncRNA from 1 species